ensembl:lncRNA
UAUUUAUCUGUACUAUUAAUACAGUGGGUCCCUUCUAAAUCCUAAACGGCACCCUAUUCAAUACAUAGUGCCCUACUAUGGGCCCUGGUCAGUAGUUGUGCACUAUAUAGGGAAUAGGGUGCCAUUUGGGACGCAUCCUGUGUGUUUGGAAAUGGCCGUCAUCUUUAACUGGCCGAGCAGAGGAGACACUGUCUGAUGUGGUUGAUUAUGUGACGUCAAUGAGUAGAAUGACGGUGAUUUACAGUAAUGCCAACAUCAAAACAGGGUCAUGGGGAUUAGCUGUGUGUCUUAUUCAACGGGCACCGAUGAUCUGUCACAGAUUUAGGGGUCGACUCGGUACAUUACAAUAUCUGAAUUAACUCUGUAAUCGACCAUUAACUCUAACCUACUCUCAACAUGUACAGGAAGUUGCGUUACAGAUGAGCACGGUUAAAAAACAGAACGUGACAGACAUGUUUCACACAUUUCUUGAGCUUGAGACAUGACAUCAUUUAAAUGUAGAACAGGUUCACACACUGUAACCUGACACCUCGGAUUAUGAAACAUGUCAGGUGCGUUGUUUCAUCUUCACAAAGGGAAGCUGCGUACCUCCGUCAGGACCUUCUCUUCCUUCCUGUUUACUUUAACUGAAGAAAACCCUGCCACUGAAACUAUAUUUGAUCAUGUAAGCUCAGACCUAAAUAAAUAGACAAUAGAUCACGGUCUCUUCCUAUAUGAUACUAAGAGAGUGAUAGCCAGGCAUGUUGACAUCUCACACGUGACAAUCUGUGCCAUCCCAGAGAGGAGGAAACAGUCGGACACAAGCCAGAUAACUGGACUGGAUUUGGUGUCCUCCUUGUGUUAUUGCCUGCUCACCCGUGCUUUAACCUCACCCGGAAAACAGGACCGCUUUGUCUUGGGUUACGUCACAUUGAAUGGCCACCUAAUUGAUCUGAACGCUGGGAUUGUUUUUUAAUUUUUUUAAUGAACUUUUAUUGAAAACUAGGCAAGUCUGUUAAGAACAAAUUCUGAUUUACAAUGCCGGCCUACCAAGAGACAAAAGGCUUUCUCCUGGGACUGGCGCUGGAAUAAAAAAUAAAACUGUAGUACAAAACACACAUCACAACAAGAGACACCACAACAUUUCAUAAAGAGAGACCUAAGACACCACAACACUUCAUAAAGAGAGACCUAAGACACCAAAACAUUUCAUAAAGAGAGACCUAAGACACCACAACAUUUCAUAAAGAGAGACCUAAGACACCACAACAUUUCAUAAGAGACCUAAGACACCACAACAUUUCAUAAAGAGAGACCUAAGACAACAACACAGCAUGGCAGCAACACAUGACAACACAUGAACUCUGUCUCUCAUGCUGCUGACCAGUCUGGCAGAGAAGGAAAGAAUACUGCCCCUGCAAGCUAGAGGAGUGAUAUCCAUCCCUCUUUUUACAUGUACAGUGCCUUGCGAAAGUAUUCGGCCCCCUUGAACUUUGCGACC